rnacentral:tRNA from 1 species
CCGGUAUUGGUGUAGUGGCAGCACAUCAGUCCUCCAAACUGAGAGCGCGAGUUCGACCCUCGUAUACCGGUCCA